CUCUGGGAAGAGCAGCGAGGUCCCUGUAACCCACCACCUGGUCAUGGACCCUCGCCUACACAGACACACACAAACUCUUGUUUCAGGUCUGUCUCAGGUGUUUCAGGCAUGCUUCAGGUGUGUCUCAGGUGUGUCUGAUGUGUUUCAGGUGUGCUUCAGGUGUGUCUCAGGUGUUUCAGGCAUGCUUCAGGUGUGUCUCAGGUGUGUCUCAGGUGUGCUGUAGCAGCAGUUUACCAUGAUGCCAGUAGCAGGAGAACCUGGGGUGCUUGUCCCUCUAGAUGAUGGAUGCAUGUUGAGC